rnacentral:rRNA from 1 species
AUACGUAGGGUGCAAGCGUUAAUCGGAAUUACUGGGCGUAAAGCGUGCGCAGGCGGUUUUGUAAGACAGUGGUGAAAUCCCCGGGCUCAACCUGGGAACUGCCAUUGUGACUGCAAGGCUGGAGGGCGGCAGAGGGGGAUGGAAUUCCCCGUGUAGCAGUGAAAUGCGUAGAUAUGCGGAGGAACACCGAUGGCGAAGGCAAUCCCCUGGGCCUGCACUGACGCUCAUGCACGAAAGCGUGGGGAGCAAACAGGAUUAGAUACCCUGGUAGUCCACGCCCUAAACGAUGUCAACUGGUUGUUGGGGAUUUAUUUUCUCAGUAACGAAGCUAACGCGUGAAGUUGACCGCCUGGGGAGUACGGCCGCAAGGUUAAAACUCAAAUGAAUUGACGGGG